rnacentral:rRNA from 1 species
UACGAAGGUGGCAAGCGUUACUCGGAAUUACUGGGCGUAAAGGGCAUGUAGGUGGUUUGGUAAGUCUGUUGUGUAAGCUCCCGGCUUAACUGGGAGAGGUCAACAGAAACUACCAGGCUUGAGUAUAGGAGAGGGUACUGGAAUUCCCGGUGUAGCGGUGAAAUGCGCAGAGAUCGGGAGGAACACCAAUGGCGAAAGCAGGUACCUGGACUAUUACUGACACUAAGCUGCGAAAGCUAGGGGAGCAAACAGG